GGGGAUAUUGGGUUGUCCCACAAUGUUGCAUGGCCAUUCCUAUUUCCUUGUUGAUUACAAUGUUGGAGUGUCUUUUUCAGUGGGUUAUGCUUUAAAUUUUUAUUGAUUUUUGUUGUCGUCGUUAUGUUAUUAUUUUAUUGGUUAAAUUAUUGUAUUCUAUUGUAUGUCAUGGAGGAACAUUUUGAAGUUGUUUUCCACCACGGUUGAAAGUUCAUAAAUGAUGGGA
rnacentral:lncRNA from 1 species